rnacentral:rRNA from 1 species
GAUGAACGCUGGCGGCGUGUCUAAUACAUGCAAGUCGAGCGAACAGACGAGGAGCUUGCUCCUCUGACGUUAGCGGCGGACGGGUAAGUAACACGUGGAUAACCUACCUAUAAGACUGGGAUAACUUCGGGAAACCGGAGCUAAUACCGGAUAAUAUAUUGAACCGCAUGGUUCAAUAGUGAAAGACGGUUUUGCUGUCACUUAUAGAUGGAUCCGCGCCGCAUUAGCUAGUUGGUAAGGUAACGGCUUACCAAGGCAACGAUGCGUAGCCGACCUGAGAGGGUGAUCGGCCACACUGGAACUGAGACACGGUCCAGACUCCUACGGGAGGCAGCAGUAGGGAAUCUUCCGCAAUGGGCGAAAGCCUGACGGAGCAACGCCGCGUGAGUGAUGAAGGUCUUCGGAUCGUAAAACUCUGUUAUUAGGGAAGAACAAAUGUGUAAGUAACUAUGCACGUCUUGACGGUACCUAAUCAGAAAGCCACGGCUAACUACGUG